rnacentral:rRNA from 1 species
CAGAGCAGGCCAUGUCACCCUGCAGCCCAAGACCGGUUACUCACUGAAGCUAAGCAGGGCUGAGUCUGGUCAGUACCUGGAUGGGAGACCACUAGGGAACACUAGGUUGCUGUUGGAA